UGGGGAAUUUUGGACAAUGGGCGCAAGCCUGAUCCAGCCAUGCCGCGUGCGGGAAGAAGGCCUUCGGGUUGUAAACCGCUUUUGUCGGGGAAGAAAUACGCCGGGCGAAUACCCUGGCGGGAUGACGGUACCCGAAGAAUAAGCACCGGCUAACUACGUGCCAGCAGCCGCGGUAAUACGUAGGGUGCAAGCGUUAAUCGGAAUUACUGGGCGUAAAGCGUGCGCAGGCGGUUGUGCAAGACAGAUGUGAAAUCCCCGGGCUCAACCUGGGAACUGCAUUUGUGACUGCACGGCUGGAGUGCGGCAGAGGGGGAUGGAAUUCCGCGUGUAGCAGUGAAAUGCGUAGAUAUGCGGAGGAACACCGAUGGCGAAGGCAAUCCCCUGGGCCUGCACUGACGCUCAUGCACGAAAGCGUGGGGAGCAAACAGG
rnacentral:rRNA from 1 species